rnacentral:rRNA from 1 species
AGCAGCCGCGGUAAUUCCAGCUCCAAUAGCGUAUAUUAAAGUUGUUGCAGUUAAAAAGCUCGUAGUUGAAUUUCGGGGUCAGCAGGUUGGUCGUGCCACUGGUAUGUACUGGCUUUGCUGAUUCCUCCUUCUUGUAGAACCGUAAUGCCAUUAAUUUGGUGUUGCGGGGAAACAGGACUGUUACUUUGAAAAAAUUAGAGUGUUUAAAGCAGGCUAACGCUUGAAUACAUUAGCAUGGAAUAAUGAAAUAGGACGAGCGAUCCUAUUUUGUUGGUUUCUAGGAUUGACGUAAUGAUUAAUAGGGAUAGUUGGGGGCAUUAGUAUUCAAUUGUCAGAGGUGAAAUUCUUGGAUUUAUUGAAGACUAACUACUGCGAAAGCAUUUGCCAAGGACGUUUUCAUUAAUCAAGAACGAAAGUUAGGGGAUCGAAGACGAUCAGAUACCGUCGUAGUCUUAACCAUAAACUAUGCCGACUAGGGAUCGGAUGAUGUUAAUUUUAUAAUGACUCAUUCGGCGCCUUA